rnacentral:rRNA from 1 species
ACGAAGUGAGUGGCGAACGGGUGAGUAACACGUGGGUAACCUGCCCAGAAGUAGGGGAUAACACCUGGAAACAGAUGCUAAUACCGUAUAACAGAGAAAACCGCAUGGUUUUCUUUUAAAAGAUGGCUCUGCUAUCACUUCUGGAUGGACCCGCGGCGUAUUAGCUAGUUGGUGAGGUAAAGGCUCACCAAGGCAGUGAUACGUAGCCGACCUGAGAGGGUAAUCGGCCACAUUGGGACUGAGACACGGCCCAGACUCCUACGGGAGGCAGCAGUAGGGAAUCUUCCACAAUGGACGCAAGUCUGAUGGAGCAACGCCGCGUGAGUGAAGAAGGGUUUCGGCUCGUAAAGCUCUGUUGUUAAAGAAGAACGUGGGUAAGAGUAA